AACUUUUGACAACGGAUCUCUUGGCUCUCGCAUCGAUGAAGAACGCAGCGAAAUGCGAUAAGUAAUGUGAAUUGCAGAUUUUAAGUGAAUCAUCAAAUCUUUGAACGCACCUUGCGCCCCUUGGUAUUCCGAGGGGCAUGCCUGUUUGAGUGUCAUUAAAUUCUCACCUCCAUUUGAUUUGUUUCAAACCUGGAGCUUGGACUUGGAGUGUGCUGGCGUUGACCGUCGGCUCCUCUCAAAUGCAUCGGCGGAAUUGAACCUAUGACUUCCGAAUGUCAGUGUGAUAAUUAACGUUGCGCUGUCGACCGGGGUCGGAGUCCGCUUACAAUCGUCCUCGGACAACUUAUCAAAUUUGACCUCAAAUCAGGUAGGACUACCCGCUGAACUUAAGCAUAUCAAUAAGCGGAGGCC
rnacentral:misc_RNA from 1 species